rnacentral:misc_RNA from 1 species
GAAGUGCGAUAAGCAAUGCGAAUUGCAGAACCGUGAGUCAUCAGAUUUUUGAACGCAACUGGCGCCGGUUGGCUCUCCAACCGGCAUGCUUGUUUCAGUGUCUCUUUAUCUCAUCACCCAUAUCAUAAUGCGAGAGAUACCCUUCUCUUGCUAAGCUCGAAAGCACUCUGCGCUCUGCGAGCGGCUUCGAAUUGUUCGAGGGUCGCACUCAAUGCAGCCGUCACAUUGCUCACAAUGUGAACUCAUUGAGAGCUGAGGCAGUGUAGCGUAAGCUACCAGUGCUUAGUCACACAAACUUUACUUGCAUCUGAAAUCAAGCAGUAUCACCCGCUGAACUUACGC